ACAGGGGUAUUUAUAAAUGCUUUCUCUCUCCUCUGCCGCAGACUGCUGUAUGGAAUGUCCGGUGUGCAAAGAGGACUUGGCAGUGGGAGAGCCAGUCAGACAGCUACCCUGUAACCACUUCUUUCAUUCAGACUGUAUAGUACCGUGGCUGGAAAUGCAUGACACAUGUCCAGUGUGUAGGAAGAGUUUGAACGGAGAAGACAGCAGCAGCCAGCCCCCAUCAGAGUCCCCCACCCUGUCUAUGGACCCCCGCACACAGGAGAGAUGGUCCUUCUGAUACCCCCCCACCCGUCUGAGCCCUUAGUUCCCCUUGCCCACAUCCACCACACGAGAAGACACAGCGCUUCUCACUCGCCUCCUUUCAUCUCCGUUGCAGUUAUAAUCAUCUCAGUCGGAUUUUUGUACUUUUAUUUUCUAUUUGAAUGCCUUUCUCCUCAACCAUGUAUACAGAUUUCCAUACAGACGUCUUAACGGUCGGUCGAGGUCAAGGAGACUCUUUUUGUUGUCGCAUAAGAAACCAGCCUAGAUUGAUGGUGAUGAUCAAGCCCAUGUCUUCUCUACUUCCAUCCCUCAAGCAACCUCCUUUUCCAUCUUUCUUAAAAUGCACUGCUGCGUUACACUAUUGUGGGGAAAUGCCAUACUUUAUAUCAUAUACCACGCCCUCUUUACUGAAAAUGAGCUAAGUCCUGCAACUGAGCCCUGGACGGCAUACGGGAGUACUGUAGGGUUUACCUUCACUCUUUGUAUUUACAGAGUCUGGACUUAAUAACACCUGUAGUCCUGCAAUAAACCCUAUGUCUAAGAUCAAUGAUGCAUUCCUGUUGAGAUUUUCUCAGGAAGAACCUGAUUAACUCUUGUUCUAUUGUUUAUUCUAAAGAGGUCCACGUUAUUGCGUCCAUCCUCUGUAACGUACUUUAAGAACAGGACACAAAGUAUUUUAUAGACAUCAGUUUGAGUCGCUGCUGUAAAAUGGCCUCAAAUAAAGCUGUGACUUCAAAUGAAAGUCACAGCUUUCUGGGAACACAUCAAACACCAUACCUGUAAGGGAAUGAAAACCGCCCUUUAUUGAAUGAUUAGGAUUGAAACAUUCUCCUCCGAGUGUAUAUAUUAUAAACAAAUGGCAUCCCUCUGUUUUAUUCCUCUGUCUUUUGUUUCAAUUUUUUUUUAUCACUUUUUUUGAUGUAAAUAAUUUUAGUCCAAGUUAUGGUUUGCAAAAGGAAAAAAAAAUGGAGACACAAAUGUGAAAUACCUGGUUAUCGAACUGUAUAUUAUAUAUAUGAAAAAUGUCUAUGAUGUAUUAAUAAAUUGACCAAAAAGA